GAAACUCUCUCCAAACUAUAAACAUAGCAUCCAAAAGCCAAACAUUGAGAACUAAUAUUGCAAAGCAACAGUUUGAUUAAAUAACUUCUAAAGGAUGCAUCAAUUAAGAUCAGUGUCAAACUCACUACUAUUCCUCUGUUGUCUUUAGGAAACUUUCGAUCUCGGUGAUUGUACUUCGAGCGUCGUCGAACUCCUGGCCUUUCUCUUGUGUUGAUUCUUCCAGUUCAGCCAGUGCUCCUUUCAGAUCAGCUAAUGCGGACUCCAGACGCUUGUGACAAUCGGGAACCAUCAUCCUUGAUUCAGCCAGCAC
rnacentral:misc_RNA from 1 species